UACGGAGGGGGCGAGCGUUAUUCGGAAUUAUUGGGCGUAAAGGGCGCGUAGGCGGCUUGAUGUGUCAAAGGUGAAAUCCCUCGGCUCAACUGAGGAACUGCCUUUGAAACUGUCUGGCUUGAGGCCGGGAGAGGGUAGCGGAAUUCCCAGUGUAGCGGUGAAAUGCGUAGAUAUCUGGAGGAACACCGGUGGCGAAGGCGGCAUCCUGGACCGACACUGACGCUGAGGAGCGAAAGCCAGGGGAGCAAACGGG
rnacentral:rRNA from 1 species